rnacentral:rRNA from 1 species
UACGUAGGGACCAAGCGUUGUUCGGAUUCAUUGGGCGUAAAGGGUGCGUAGGUGGCGCCGUAAGUCGGGUGUGAAAUUUCGGAGCUUAACUCCGAAACUGCAUUCGAUACUGCGGUGCUUGAGGACUGGAGAGGAGACUGGAAUUCAUAGUGUAGCAGUGAAAUGCGUAGAGAUCAUGAGGAAGACCAGUGGCGAAGGCGGGUCUCUGGACAGUUCCUGACACUGAGGCACGAAGGCCAGGGGAGCAAACGGG